rnacentral:tRNA from 1 species
AUUUGUAUAGUUUAAUUUAAAACAUUACAUUUUCACUGUAAAAAUAAGAAAAUUCUUUAUAAAUU